rnacentral:rRNA from 1 species
AUUGAACGCUGGCGGCAGGCCUAACACAUGCAAGUCGAGCGGGCGGCGGACGGGUGAGCAAUGUAUGGGGACUGCCCGAUCGAGGGGGAUAACUACUGGAAACGGUGGCUAAUACCGCUUACUAUCGGAUAACCCAUAGGGGAUUAGCUAGUAGGUGGGGUAAAGGCUCACCAAGGCGACGAUCUCUAGCUGGUCGGAGAGGGUGAUCAGCCACACUGGGACUGAGACACGGCCCAGACUCCUACGGAGGCAGCAGUGGGGAAUAUUGCGCAAUGGGCGCAAGCCUGAUGCAGCCACGCCGCGUGUAUGAAGAAGGCCUUAGGGUUGUAAAGUUCUUUCGGCAGGGAGGCGUUACCCAAAGAGGAAGCACCGGCUAACUCCGUGCCAGCAGCCGCGGUAAUAC